UAAACAUAAAGGGGGGCAUUUGCUAUAUUUUUUAAUAGGAGGUCAAAAUCUCUACAUUUUAAAAGUUAGGGGGUGAAAAUUGUGUUUAAGCUUUUUAAUUAUCUCGACAUAUUAGUAAUGUUGUAAUACAUUUUUUGUUUAUGUGUAUUUAGUAUAGUGUAAUUUUGUUUUUUAAUGGCAAACAACAUCUGGAAGGUGGAACCACAUAUCAACAUCGUCUUCUUCUUCUUCUUCUUCUUCAUCAUCAUCAUCAUAAUCGUCUUCUUCUACUUGGUCUUUGGUUGCAGGUGUAGGGACUUGGAUACGAUCAAAUAGUAAUUUCUUUGGAAUUUUCACCUCUCUUGCAUUGCCUUGUUCUUCAAGAACCAACUUUUGAUCCAUUUUCUUUAAGGCUUUGAGAAAUACAAAUUUUUCAUCCCUUUCUCCACAUUUUCCUUUGCAUCUCCUGUAAAUCAAAAUCAAACAAAAAGUAGUAAAAUAACAUUACAAUCACACAAUAAAACUUAUUUAUCAAGAAAAAUAAAGACAUAAAAUCAUAUAAUAAACUAAGUAUCAUAUAUAUCAAAAUUAUUUCAAUUUAGAUAAGCAUCAUAAUUGAAUGCUUAGAUUUGUUAGAUAAUGCAAUAUAAUUAAUAAGCAUGCAAUUACAAUCUGUUGAUGUUUCACCAACAUUUUAAAUUAUGUGAAUUAAUAAAUAUUCAAGUAUAAAUAUAACACAAAUACUCUUACCGAGUAUUAUUAUAUUGGGGUAAGAAGGUAUCUAUGAUUAAAUGAACUUAAUCUUGUGAUAUGAUGUGUCUAUUUGUAAUUUCUAUUGUUGGACCUAUUUGGAUAUUAUGUAACCUUUAAGAAAUUGAAAACCCAUAGGAAGAACUACUAACCACAAACUUAUAUAUAAAAGUAUUGUAAUUCAAAUUGAUUCGAACAAUUCUUUUGAUGUGGGAAUUUUUUAUAACAUUUUUACAUGUUUUGAUCAUUGUUUGAUAAAAUAUUUCUCUACACUUAUAUAUGUUACUAGAAAUUCAUCAUUCGUUAUAUAAAUUGUAAGUCCUUAACUUUUAUGAAUUGUUUUCCCUAUCGAAUACAAAUUUAUGCAAUGUUGAAUAUAAGUUCUAUUUUCAUAGACAAGUGUUUUGACCAUGUUUAAAGUGUUAGUAUUAAAAUUCAUAUUCAUUUGUAAUUAAUUAUUGUCAUCCAAAUAUGAGACUUUUAGAUUAACUAUUUAAUUAAUAAACGUUUAUGUCUUGAAAAUUAUAAAUUAUAAUAAAUUAUGAUUAAUUUAUAGUAUAUUAUUAUCAAAAAUUGAUUAAUUGAUGAAUAUGUGUUGGAUUUUGUUUCUAAAAAAAUUGUGACAGAUUUGACCAUUCUAGUAAGCCCAAUAUGAGGUCACUAUCCUCUAAUUUAAUUGUUGUCCAUUAAACGAUUAUCCUUACUUAAAACCCUAGACACUAACGGGGGUAGUUUGUCUCUCAAACCUCCUCUCUCAAAUUUUAAAUGGUAUCUUUAAUGCAUUAGAUAGGCCAAAUAUCUUAUGUAAUUUCUUAAGUUAGAUAUUUAUAAUAGUUUCAUCCUUUAAGUAUUUUUGUUAUAAAUUGGUCAUUUAAGUUAGAAAAUAUUUUGAUCUUACUUUUAUCAAACUCAAUCAAAAAGCGUUUGUGUGGAAACUUAAUUUUAAGUCAGUAUGUCCAAAUUUAUUCCUCUCAAAACUAAGGUUGAUAGGUGUAUCAUUCAGUCUUGAUUUAAAAGCGAAAUUGUUCGAUUACUUGAUAUAAUAUUGUUGAUGAAAUAUUUAUCUUUAAAAUUAGUCUUGAAUUCAAAACCAAGAAGAAAAAAAUUUGCGUAAGUAAUCAAGGUUGAUGUCACAAGCCCUUUUGAAUUUACCACCUCAACACUGACCAUAAGAACUUUUUAUCAACUUGGUUGAAACAAUUAGUAACGCUGUAAAUAUUAUAUUCCUUAAAGGAAAAAAAUUUAACAAAAAAAACAUAAAUGACCGACUUGUUAAAGAACUUGUUAUAAACAUCUAACUUAAAGUACCAUUAAAGAUAUUUUUCCCAUUAGACAUGCCUUAACUUGUAUCUAUAAUUUGGCUAUACCGUUAAAAUUCCAUCAUAUUGAUCAUAUGAAUGUAUAAUUCAUUCCAAAAAAAUUAAUGGACACUCUAAUUGAAAACUAUCGUGGUGUUGGGAUUAGUGGGUGUUGUUCCUUUGUUAGAGAACUUUAAAACCAGAGUCAACAAAGAAUUGUGCCAUACUGAUUUUGAGUGAGUUUUACAGAAUCUCAUUUAAUGGUUUUCUUCCAUGAAGCCAAACAAUAUUCAAGUAUGAUGGUUGGAGUGUGUGACCAAAAAAUAUUUUUGAGAUAGAGAAAGUCUCUCUCUCGAUUUCUCGAGGUCUCAGGUUCGAUUCUCCCUAGUGCCAAUUUAAGUGGGCUAAUUUAUUUUAUUUUUUUUAAAAAAAUAUCUUCUAUUUUUGAAAAUGUAUGAGAUUAUAUCAUUUAUACAAUUUAAAAUCUUACAGAUUGUCUCAAUGAGUUUAAUUCAUUUGGUAAGGGAUAAUGCACAAUAUGUGCAGGGGCCGAGGUUCGAACUCCGGACACCCCACUUAUUCAUUUUUAAGGUGAAUUUCUCUCGCAAUUAGGUAAGUUUAGCCACUUGACCAAAAAUAAAUAAAAUCGUACAGAUUGGACUCCCUAUCUCUUUUAAUAAAUGUAGAGAAUCAUAACUUGUCAAUAUCGUAAUUUUGAAAACAUUAUCUACUAAGAUUUAAAUGAUGACAAAAGAAACAUUAUUGCCUUGACUUUUACAUAUUAUGACUAUGUUAAAAAUAUAAAUACACAUAAUAAGUUUAAUCUUACGUUUAAUUUUUUUUAUUAAAGCAAGGUAUUCUUUGAACUCCAAACUUUAAUCCUUCAAGAUAGCUAAGACCCGUUUAAGAGGUUCAGUUCUCCCAACAAAGGUAUACGCUUUAUAAUGAGUAUGAUAAAUUAUUUUGUAAGAACUUAUGGCGGAAAAUUUUAAGUUUAGCUCUUACAAAUGAUUUUUUUUUAAUAGAUAUUAUUUGUAAAAACAGACUAAAUAAUUAAUCUACAUAAUCAUAUAUUACAUUUAUUUAUUAAAGUAGCUUAUUAUUAUUAAUAUCAAUAAUAAUAUUAAUAUUAAUAAUAUAAUUUUUUUUUUUGAGAGAUUAUUAUUAUAAUUAUUAUUAUGUAUUGAUGUUGUUGUUUGUGAUAUCUUACAUUAGAAAGUGAAAGGCCGCAUAAAUAUAAAUCAAAAUUUUAAGUAAAUUAUAAAUGUAAAAACAAAAACAAAAAUAGAUAUAUACUUACAAGUUGAACUCACAAACAUUAUCAACACACUUCAAAUCAAGAGGUGUAAAUGUCUUGAGACAAUCAUCGUCAGAAACACAAUAAAUUGCAACUACAUUGAGAAAUAAGAAAGAAGGAUGUUAUAAGACACGAUAUAAUAUUGUAUAAAAGAUAAAUAAAAUUUUUAAAAAUAGUGUGAAAAACAACGUACUUUUAUUGGUUAUAACAUGAGAUGGGAAGAGAAAGAUGAUCAAAGUAUAAACAAACAUGACAACUUG
rnacentral:lncRNA from 1 species